GACAGAGGGUGCAAACGUUGUUCGGAAUUACUGGGCGUAAAGGGUGUGUAGGCGGGUGCUUAAGUUUGGUGUGAAAUCUCCCGGCUCAACUGGGAGGGUGCGCCGAAUACUGAGUGACUCGAGUGCGGGAGAGGAGAGUGGAAUUCCUGGUGUAGCGGUGAAAUGCGUAGAUAUCAGGAGGAACACCGGUGGUGUAGACGGCUCUCUGGACCGUAACUGACGCUGAGACACGAAAGCGUGGGUAGCAAACAGG
rnacentral:rRNA from 1 species